CAAGGCCUUGCGCUCUUUGAGCGGCCGAUGUCAGAUUAGCUAGUUGGUGAGGUAAAGGCUUACCAAGGCGACGAUCUGUAGCGGGUCUGAGAGGAUGAUCCGCCACACUGGAACUGAGACACGGUCCAGACUCCUACGGGAGGCAGCAGUGGGGAAUUUUGGACAAUGGGGGCAACCCUGAUCCAGCCAUGCCGCGUGAGUGAAGAAGGCCUUCGGGUUGUAAAGCUCUUUCGGCCGGGAAGAAAUCGCAUGGGUCAAUACCCUGUGUGGAUGACGGUACCGGAAUAAGAAGCACCGGCUAACUACGUGCCAGCAGCCGCGGUAAUACGUAGGGUGCGAGCGUUAAUCGGAAUUACUGGGCGUAAAGCGUGCGCAGGCGGUUUUGUAAGACAGGCGUGAAAUCCCCGGGCUUAACCUGGGAACUGCGUUUGUGACUGCAAGGCUAGAGUACGGCAGAGGGGGGUGGAAUUCCACGUGUAGCAGUGAAAUGCGUAGAGAUGUGGAGGAACACCAAUGGCGAAGGCAGCCCCCUGGGUCGAUACUGACGCUCAUGCACGAAAGCGUGGGUAGCAAACAGGAUUAGAUACCCUGGUAGUCCACGCCCUAAACUAUGUCAACUAGGUGUUGGGUGGGUAAAACCAUUUAGUACCGUAGCUAACGCGUGAAGUUGACCGCCUGGGGAGUACGGCCGCAAGGUUAAAACUCAAAGGAAUUGACGGGGACCCGCACAAGCGGUGUAUGAUGUGGAUUAAUUCGAUGCAACGCGAAAAACCUUACCUACCCUUGACAUGCCAGGAACUUGCCAGAGAUGGCUUGGUGCCCGAAAGGGUGCCUGGACACAGGUGCUGCAUGGCUGUCGUCAGCUCGUGUCGUGAGAUGUUGGGUUAAGUCCCGCAACGAGCGCAACCCUUGUCGUUAAUUGCCAUCAUUUGGUUGGGCACUUUAACGAGACUGCCGGUGACAAACCGGAGGAAGGUGGGGAUGACGUCAAGUCCUCAUGGCCCUUAUGGGUAGGGCUUCACACGUCAUACAAUGGUCGGUACAAAGGGUUGCCAAGCCGCGAGGCGGAGCCAAUCCCAGAAAGCCGAUCGUAGUCCGGAUUGCAGGCUGCAACUCGCCUGCAUGAAGUCGGAAUCGCUAGUAAUCGUGGAUCAGCAUGUCACGGUGAAUACGUUCCCGGGUCUUGUACACACCGCCCGUCACACC
rnacentral:rRNA from 1 species